UAGCCGUAAACGAUACUCGCUAGGUGUCGGCCACGGUGCGACCGUUGUCGGUGCCGUAGGGAAGCCGUGAAGCGAGCCACCUGGGAAGUACGGCCGCAAGGCUGAAACUUAAAGGAAUUGGCGGGGGAGCACAACAACGGGUGGGGCUUGCGGUUUAAUUGGAUUCAACGCCGGAAAUCUUACCGGGACCGACAGCAACAUGAAGGCCAAGCUGAAGACUUUGCCGGAUUAGCUGAGAGGUGGUGCAUGGCGUAGUCGUGU
rnacentral:rRNA from 1 species